rnacentral:sRNA from 1 species
GGAAGAAGGCCCCUCGCCCUCGGCGGAGCGCUAUCUUCCACUGGUUUUCCAGGUUCCCCGGCUUGCUACCGGGCUGCUCCGUGCAUCUUUCCCCCCAGGCGUCAGGAACUGCGCCCUCAUGGCGGAGGUGAAGGUGAAGGUGCAGCCGCCCGACGCGGAUCCGGUCGAAAUAGAAAACAGGUAAACCAGUGAGGCUCCGGCUUGGCACUCCAUCAGGCGCCCAGUCAUUUGGGCAGCCGGACCCCUUCUCCGGGAUCCCUUGGGAGUGGCCGGAGCGGGUUAGGAUUAUAGAAUUAUGUCACCAGUUCCCUCAUGGAAUCACAGACCAAGUAAUUCAGAAUGAAAUGCCUCAUAUAGAAGCCCAGCAGCGGGCAGUAGCCAUCAAUAGGUUGUUGUCUAUGGGUCAGUUGGAUCUCUUAAGGAGCAAUACGGGCCUUUUAUAUAGAAUAAAGGACUCUCAGAAUGCUGGUAAAAUGAAGGGAUCCGAUAACCAAGAAAAACUGGUAUAUCAAAUCAUAGAGGAUGCAGGAAAUAAAGGAAUAUGGAGCAGAGAUAUCCGCUAUAAAAGUAAUUUGCCAUUAACAGAAAUCAACAAAAUUCUGAAGAAUCUGGAAAGUAAAAAGCUUAUCAAAGCUGUUAAGUCUGUAGCAGCCUCAAAAAAGAAGGUGUAUAUGCUCUAUAACCUGCAGCCAGACCGGUCUGUGACUGGUGGAGCCUGGUACAGUGACCAGGAUUUUGAAUCUGAAUUUGUAGAGGUGCUUAACCAACAGUGUUUUAAAUUCCUACAGUCCAAGGCAGAAACAGCACGAGAAAGCAAACAGAACCCAAUGAUACAAAGAAAUAGUUCAUUUGCCUCAUCACAUGAAGUGUGGAAAUAUAUCUGUGAAUUGGGAAUCAGUAAGGUAGAGUUAUCCAUGGAAGACAUUGAAACCAUCCUGAAUACGCUCAUUUAUGAUGGAAAAGUGGAGAUGACGAUUAUUGCUGCAAAAGAAGGCACAGUUGGCAGUGUAGAUGGACACAUGAAACUGUACAGGGCAGUCAAUCCAAUCAUCCCUCCCACGGGUUUGGUCCGGGCACCCUGUGGACUCUGCCCGGUUUUUGAUGACUGCCAUGAAGGUGGUGAGAUUUCACCAUCUAACUGUAUUUACAUGACAGAGUGGCUUGAAUUUUAAUAGAGAGCUAUGAACUUUAUUGACAUUUUCCAAAUGAAGUUACUUUGGGAGCAGAUAAUUUAAUUCAUGAUGGAACAUCAAAUCUCCUUGAAAGCAAACUUCACAAUAAUGGAUUUAGACUUGCUGCUAUGAAAACAUAUUUUUUUAUUUAUGAAGACUAAAUUUAUAUUGGUAAAACAGCCAGUAGAAUAUGAAAGAAAUAAGGUUAGUAGUGAAAUUCACUCUUCAAUAAAUAAAACACUUUGAAACUCCGGAGGACCACAUCUUUCAAGACUUCUGAUGGGUCAAGGAAAAAGAUGCCAACAUAACCCGUAUUUACCAAGUACUAUGAUAAUGGCUAGAGUAUAAAAAUGUUCUUUAUAAAGUUAUUUAUUAAGUUCUUCAUUGGAAGUUUUUUUUAUAUCUGGUUCACUACCACCAUUUCUGUUUUCUACUUUCUCAGUGGUUUCAUUGAAAAGAAAUUAGAAGUGGUUAAAGGCAGGAAUAGCAAAGGAGUGCAAACUUGGGGUAUGACUGGGGGAGAGUGGAACAUGCCUUUUCCGCACAAUAUUAAUUCCUUUUUAUAUCAGAAAUGUUCUUUUAGGAGAUUAUGCUACCAUACUUACUUCAAACCCAAUGACUACUGUCAAGGAUAUAUUUUUAGUACAUAAAUAUUAUCAUUUUCAUCCUAAAGAAUAUUUUCACUGUUCCUUCUUUCUUAAAGUCUGUUUUACUCUGUAACUCCAAUGUAUUCUUUGUUAGAAUUUACCCUAGAUUCUUAUUUAAUGUCUGCAGUAGACUGAAUGUUUGUGUGCCCCCAAAAUUCUAAUGUUGAAAUCUCAUUUCCAAUGUGAUGGUAUUUGGAGGUGGGGCCUUUGGGAAGUGAUAGGUCAGGAGAGUAACAGCCCUCAUGAAUGGGAUUAGUGCCCUUAUAUAAAGAGACCCAGAGAACUCCAUCACCCCUUCUGCCAUGUGAAAGGGAGAAGACAAACAUCCAGGAACCAGAAAAUGGGUCCUCACCAGAAAACAAAUCUGUAAGCACCUUGAUCUUGGACUUCCCAGCCUCCAGAAUUGUGAGAAAUAAAUUUCUGUUGUUGAUAAA